CCCAGACUCCUACGGGAGGCAGCAGUGGGGGAUAUUGCACAAUGGGGGAAACCCUGAUGCAGCGACGCCGCGUGGGUGAAGAAGCGCCUCGGCGCGUAAAGCCCUGUCAGCAGGGAAGAAAAUGACGGUACCUGAAGAAGAAGCCCCGGCUAACUACGUGCCAGCAGCCGCGGUAAUACGUAGGGGGCAAGCGUUAUCCGGAUUUACUGGGUGUAAAGGGGGCGCAGACGGCGAUGCAAGCCAGGAGUGAAAGCCCGCGGCUCAACUGCGGGACUGCUUUGGAAACUGUUCAACUGGAGUGCUGGAGAGGUAAGCGGAAUUCCUAGUGUAGCGGUGAAAUGCGUAGAUAUUAGGAGGAACACCAGUGGCGAAGGCGGCUUACUGGACAGUAACUGACGUUGAGGCUCGAAAGCGUGGGGAGCAAACAGGAUUAGAUACCCCUGUAC
rnacentral:rRNA from 1 species